rnacentral:tRNA from 1 species
GCGCCAGUAGUCUAGCCUGGUAGGACAUGAGCUUCCCAAGCUUAGAGCCCGGGUUCAAAUCCCGGCUGGCGCA